GCGCGUAUAGCUCAAUUGGUUAGAGCAUCGAGCUUAUACCUCGAGGGUUCCAGGUUCGAGUCCUGGUACGCGCA
rnacentral:tRNA from 1 species